rnacentral:rRNA from 1 species
UAGGGAAUCUUCCACAAUGGACGCAAGUCUGAUGGAGCAACGCCGCGUGAGUGAAGAAGGUUUUCGGAUCGUAAAGCUCUGUUGUUGGUGAAGAAGGAUAGAGGCAGUAACUGGUCUUUAUUUGACGGUAAUCAACCAGAAAGUCACGGCUAACUACGUGCA